UUUCACUCUGCUAUGUUAAGUCAUCUUGACAUACUGCCAUGAAAUGGAAACAACUGCUAGUUUUAACAUUGCUCCAUAUCUUUAUUAAAAGGUACGUCUCAUGAAUCUUAAUUCCCCACAUACAUGCUAUCUUCCUCUCUCCUCCCCUCUUCCCCCAUUACACUUCUUUCUUUUCCUCCCUAAAGAAGGAGGAAUAUUAAAAUUUCCUUGCUGUUCUGUCUGAGUGGUUAAUGAGGUUCUAGAUAGCAUAAUGAAUAUGCAGUGCUAUUGAUUCUGUUGGUGCGCGCGCGUGCGUUUGUGUGUGCGCUUGUGUGUGCGUGUCUUUAAUCACAGCUGGAAUGCAAAAUCAGGCUCCACCUUUCAACUCUAUCUCCAUCAUGCUGAGAGAGUGAGAGAGAGCGAGACUGAGACUGCUAGACAGCUCGAAAGAGAUUGCAGCUCAGAUGUCCUGGAAAACAGCAAAUCCCUCAGACCUGGCAGAUUCCGUUACCAUGAGAACUGCAGAUAUUUCCAUUGUGAUGGCUUGCUCUAGCAGCCAUCUGUUACACCCAUUUGAUUAGGAAGUACAGUUCAGCUUGUAUGGGAUUUUCACUGCACCUUAUCCCAUGGCAGCAUACAGAAACUCUCUCUCUCUCUCUCUUUUUAUAUGCUAAACUCAAUGUUUUUAAAGUGCUGUAAUUUACUGAGGCUGAAGUCAUUUAAUGAAAUUCUGGGAGGAGGUCACUGAGGGACAGUAUCUCUGAGAAGAAAGAAGCACAUGAGAUAUGUGAAGGGGAUUAGCAUCCAGUAUAUAAAUAAGAUCAGCCCAGAAAUUAGCUGUAUUUAGCAAUUCCUCAUCCUUGCCAGGGAGAGGAGCUUGAUAUACAGACCUCAUGAAGCCAUAAUAAAAUUAGUAAUUGCCUCCUGUUAGUUAAUCCCAUUCCAUAUAUAUUUAUUGUAUGCAUGCAAUAAAUGCAUGCAGCAGAUAUAUUUCAGGUCUUCUGUGAAAAAGGGGAAGGUGAUGACUCUCCCCAGAUGCCUGAAGUGGUGCAGUGGCUGCACUGUGUAACGAUUAGAUUAGCUUUAAAAAUUUAAUGGUGCCAUUUGACUUUUCAUAGACACAGAACAACCUUAAACUUUCUUGAAGGUUUUCUGUGAUUUACUGAUUAAAACAAUUGUUUGGAGUAGUUGAGUCCCUCGGUGUAAAUUAGUGGUGGAGGAAAUGGUAAUGGCACAUCAAAUGGAUAUAAAAACAAAGGAGUCCCCUUCAAUUAAAACUCUCCAGACAUUCCUCCUAAGUGGCUGGCAUUCCAGAUUCAGGGUAAUCUUAUGUGUGGCAUAGUUGCCUCGAGUAUCUUAAAAUGACUGAAGGUCUUGUAAACUCAGUGAAGCUAAUUAAAUGCUCACACACUGAAAUGAAUUUCUGAUUGCUGCUAAGGAGGCAUUGAGGUCAGCUCCUCUUUUCAUUGCCCACACUUUAUGGCCAAUGCCAGAUACUAAAUAAAUCAGAUCCUCAGAAUCAGAGGCUCUGUGGUUUUGUUCCUCUUAUAUAUUCUCCCACCCGGCUGAACAUAAUUCCUUAUCCGUCUUCAUCUCGGCAUGAAAAGUUUUCUCUUCUAUUGUUUUUCCUCACAUAGCACCAGAUUACCAUGGAGAAGACUAUGAUAUCAUAAGAAAUGAAUGAGCAUGUUUCUCACCAUGGGUGAAAUAUACAUUCCAGACCUAAUAAAGUCAGGAAUCAUGUAAUGGGCCUGGUAAAAUGAGCUGCUUAGUUAGUGUAAAUAGAAAUGGUUCUUCUUGAGGUCUCUGCUUCAGCUAAGGAAGUUCUUAGGCACUCUGCUGAGCAUGGAGACACAUAAGAACAUGUUUAAGAGUUUUUCUGAAUAGGGGUUGUUCUUAAAAUGCUUUGUUGCAUCUGGGCCCACAACCAUUUUAUUAAAAAAAAGUAAAAUUUACUUUUUUUUUCAUAAAAGUUGAUUUUUUUUGUUGAUCUUCUUUAGGACAAAUUAGAACUUCUACUUCUUGCAACCUCCCAUCUCACAUAAUCCUGGAGGCUGAGGUACAGAGAAGAGAGUCCUUUUUUUUUUUUCCUUUUUUUUUCUUCAGACAGGGCACUUGUUUUAUGAAUGUGGUAUCUGCCUUUGACAGGCAGCAGAUGUAUGGGAGCCCUGAAAUCUGAAACAAUAAAUACCAUUCAGAGUCUCACCACUGAACCUUCUUAUAGUACUGCCUUUGUUAAAUGAAACAUUUACAGGAAUACCAUCCCCCCCUUCCCACCCACCUUCAAGGCUAGGAUCUGAACCAUGUUUUUAAAGUAAAGGUUAAGUACCUGAGGCAUGAACAGUUGACAUACAAAAGAAACUAAAGUAAAUUUAUCAUUCGUUUGCCAGCUACGAGGUGUGUCGAGGGCUUUUUCUUUCUCUUUGUAAUGCAUGAGAAAACAAACCUGGGAAGCGUAUGCAAGGAAUAUUUCUUUUCUACACUGGAAUGUUAACAUUUGCACCUUCUGACUUAAUACUGUGUAUUUCUUCAGAGUCAUCAAUCUCUUGAGAGUCAUCUUGCCAUCUGUACCAGCAUUGCUCCAGGCUUCCAUAUGAAAGUCCAAUCUGGCGGUAUAAAUACUGGAUAAUGAAGAGUAGGUGUUAAAGUUUCUGACUGGUUGGAAGAUGAGUCUGUGUCUAUGAAAGAUCCGAAAGAUUCAUGUGUUAAACAAACAAACACAAUCUAUGUUAACAUGGAAGUUCAACCACAAAGAGCAUGAUGCAUGUUUGUCCUCAUACCCUCUCCCACUCUCAUGGCUUUUCUCAUUUUUUUUUUUAAUCUUUCUCAUUUUUAUAGUGUUCACCCAUGAUCUGUGAGGAAAAUGUUCUCUGACCAUGAGAUUCUCACACUUUGGAGAUUACAAAUAGGGGAGCAUGUUGACUUCCUAUAAUCACUAGCAGAGUCUUUACUCUCUGCACACCACUGUUGACCCCAGAAAUGACCCACAGGAACUGCUGGUGAAAGGAGUGAAAAGGUAUUUCAGCUUGUAGGCAUUAGAAACACUCUUCAUUAAUAGCCUUUUUGCAGACUUUUCAGAUAGAUUUCCUGUCAUUGUGAUGAGGAUAUAUUUGUAACGAGUCCCUUAAGUAAAUGGCCAGUGGAUAAUUAAUUGAACUAACUAGGACUUUCCAUACUGUAUUUUUUUCCUUUUAUUUCAUUUUCUAUUUUUUCUUUUUUUUUUGGAGGUGGGGAGAAGGGAAGAUUUCCAGAUGGUCUCAUGUCUUCUGUGCUGGGUGUACACCCUUUUACUAUCUGCUGGCCAAGCAUUUCAACCCUAAUUCAAAUAAAACUCUUAGGCAUUCUUUUGA